AUACGCAGGGUGCGAGCGUUGUCCGGAAUUACUGGGCGUAAAGAGCUCGUAGGUGGUUUGUCGCGUCGUCUGUGAAAUUCCGGGGCUUAACUCCGGGCGUGCAGGCGAUACGGGCAUAACUUGAGUACUGUAGGGGAGACUGGAAUUCCUGGUGUAGCGGUGAAAUGCGCAGAUCUCAGGAGGAACACCGGUGGCGAAGGCGGGUCUCUGGGCAGUAACUGACGCUGAGGAGCGAAAGCAGGGGUAGCGAACAGGAUUAGAUACCCUGGUAGUCCAUGCCGUAAACGGUGGGCGCUAGGUGUAGGGGUCUUCCACGACUUCUGUGCCGUAGCUAACGAAUUAAGCGCCCCGCCUGGGGAGUACGGCCGAAAGGCUAAAACUCAAAUGAAUUGACGGG
rnacentral:rRNA from 1 species